rnacentral:rRNA from 1 species
GACAGAGGUCUCGAGCGUUAGGCGGAAUCACUGGGCUUAAAGCGUGUGUAGGCGGAUUUGUAAGUACCUUGUGAAAUCCCACGGCUUAACCGUGGAACUGCUGGGUAUACUGCUUAUCUUGGGCCAUCUAGGGCGAGCGGAACAAACGGUGGAGCGGUGAAAUGCGUAGAUAUCGUUUGGAACGCCAAUGGUGAAAACAGCUCGCUGGGGAUGUGCCGACGCUGAGACACGAAAGCCAGGGGAGCGAACGGG